CACGUAGGGCGCAAGCGUUGUCCGGAAUUAUUGGGCGUAAAGAGCUCGUAGGCGGUCUGUUGCGUCCGCUGUGAAAACCCGGGGCUUAACCCCUGGCUUGCAGUGGAUACGGACAGACUAGAGGUAGGUAGGGGAGAAUGGAAUUCCCGGUGUAGCGGUGAAAUGCGCAGAUAUCGGGAGGAACACCGGUGGCGAAGGCGGUUCUCUGGGCCUUACCUGACGCUGAGAGACGAAAGCUAGGGGAGCGAAUGGG
rnacentral:rRNA from 1 species